rnacentral:tRNA from 1 species
GCAGUGGUGGGUUAGUGGCACAGAAUUCUUGCCUUCCCUGCAGGAGACCUGAGUUCAAUUCCCAGCCAGUGCA